rnacentral:rRNA from 1 species
GAUGAACGCUGGCGGCGUGCCUAACACAUGCAAGUCGAGCGGAGAUAAGAAGAGUACUUGUACAAAUUUUAUCUUAGCGGCGGACGGGUGAGUAACACGUGAGUAACCUGCCUUUCACUGGGGAAUAACAUCGAGAAAUCGGUACUAAUACCGCAUAACGUCACGAGAUCGCAUGGUUUUGUGACCAAAGGAGAAAUCCGGUGACAGAUGGACUCGCGUCCGAUUAGGUAGUUGGUGAGGUAAUGGCCCACCAAGCCUACGAUCGGUAGCCGAACUGAGAGGUUGAUCGGCCACAUUGGGACUGAGACACGGCCCAGACUCCUACGGGAGGCAGCAGUGGGGAAUAUUGGGCAAUGGGGGAAGCCCUGACCCAGCAACGCCGCGUGAAGGAAGAAGGUCUUCGGAUUGUAAACUUCUUUGAUCAGGGACGAACAAAAUGACGGUACCUGAAGAACAAGCCACGGCUAACUACGUGCCAGCAGCCGCGGUAA